rnacentral:rRNA from 1 species
AAAUUGAAGAGUUUGAUCAUGGCUCAGAUUGAACGCUGGCGGCAGGCCUAACACAUGCAAGUCGAGCGGUAGCACAGAGAGCUUGCUCUCGGGUGACGAGCGGCGGACGGGUGAGUAAUGUCUGGGAAACUGCCUGAUGGAGGGGGAUAACUACUGGAAACGGUAGCUAAUACCGCAUAAUGUCGCAAGACCAAAGUGGGGGACCUUCGGGCCUCAUGCCAUCAGAUGUGCCCAGAUGGGAUUAGCUUGUAGGUGGGGUAACGGCUCACCUAGGCGACGAUCCCUAGCUGGUCUGAGAGGAUGACCAGCCACACUGGAACUGAGACACGGUCCAGACUCCUACGGGAGGCAGCAGUGGGGAAUAUUGCACAAUGGGCGCAAGCCUGAUGCAGCCAUGCCGCGUGUGUGAAGAAGGCCUUCGGGUUGUAAAGCACUUUCAGCGGGGAGGAAGGCGGUGAGGUUAAUAACCUCAUCGAUUGACGUUACCCGCAGAAGAAGCACCGGCUAACUCCGUGCCAGCAGCCGCGGUAAUACGGAGGGUGCAAGCGUUAAUCGGAAUUACUGGGCGUAAAGCGCACGCAGGCGGUCUGUCAAGUCGGAUGUGAAAUCCCCGGGCUCAACCUGGGAACUGCAUUCGAAACUGGCAGGCUAGAGUCUUGUAGAGGGGGGUAGAAUUCCAGGUGUAGCGGUGAAAUGCGUAGAGAUCUGGAGGAAUACCGGUGGCGAAGGCGGCCCCCUGGACAAAGACUGACGCUCAGGUGCGAAAGCGUGGGGAGCAAACAGGAUUAGAUACCCUGGUAGUCCACGCCGUAAACGAUGUCGAUUUGGAGGUUGUGCCCUUGAGGCGUGGCUUCCGGAGCUAACGCGUUAAAUCGACCGCCUGGGGAGUACGGCCGCAAGGUUAAAACUCAAAUGAAUUGACGGGGGCCCGCACAAGCGGUGGAGCAUGUGGUUUAAUUCGAUGCAACGCGAAGAACCUUACCUGGUCUUGACAUCCACAGAACUUAGCAGAGAUGCUUUGGUGCCUUCGGGAACUGUGAGACAGGUGCUGCAUGGCUGUCGUCAGCUCGUGUUGUGAAAUGUUGGGUUAAGUCCCGCAACGAGCGCAACCCUUAUCCUUUGUUGCCAGCGGUCCGGCCGGGAACUCAAAGGAGACUGCCAGUGAUAAACUGGAGGAAGGUGGGGAUGACGUCAAGUCAUCAUGGCCCUUACGACCAGGGCUACACACGUGCUACAAUGGCAUAUACAAAGAGAAGCGACCUCGCGAGAGCAGGCGGACCUCAUAAAGUAUGUCGUAGUCCGGAUUGGAGUCUGCAACUCGACUCCAUGAAGUCGGAAUCGCUAGUAAUCGUAGAUCAGAAUGCUACGGUGAAUACGUUCCCGGGCCUUGUACACACCGCCCGUCACACCAUGGGAGUGGGUUGCAAAAGAAGUAGGUAGCUUAACCUUCGGGAGGGCGCUUACCACUUUGUGAUUCAUGACUGGGGUGAAGUCGUAACAAGGUAACCGUAGGGGAACCUGCGGUUGGAUCACCUCCUUA